rnacentral:rRNA from 1 species
UACGGAAGGCAGCAGGGGGGAAUAUUGCACAAUGGGCGAAAGCCUGAUGCAGCUAUGCCGCGUGUAUGAAGAAGGCCUUAGGGUUGUAAAGUACUUUCAUCGGGGAGGAAAAAACAAAACUAAUAAUUUUAUUUCUUGACGUUACCCGAAAAAGAAGCACCGGCUAACUCCGUGCCAGCAGCCGCGGUAAUACGGAGGGUGCUAGCGUUAAUCAGAAUUACUGGGCGUAAAGAGCACGUAGGUGGUUUUUUUAAGUCAGAUGUGAAAUCCCUGGGCUUAACCUAGGAACUGCAUUUUGAAACUGAAAUACUAGAGUAUCGUAGAGGGAGGUAGAAUUCUAGGUGUAGCGGUGAAAUGCGUAGAUAUCUGGAGGAAUACCUGUGGCGAAAGCGGCCUCCUAAACGAAUACUGACACUGAGGUGCGAAAGCGUGGGGAGCAAACAGGGAUUAGAUACC